rnacentral:rRNA from 1 species
GCAUGGUUGGUGGUGGAAAGUUUUUCGAUCGGGGAUGGGCUCGCGGCCUAUCAGCUUGUUGGUGGGGUGAUGGCCUACCAAGGCGACGACGGGUAGCCGGCCUGAGAGGGCGACCGGCCACACUGGGACUGAGACACGGCCCAGACUCCUACGGGAGGCAGCAGUGGGGAAUAUUGCACAAUGGGGGAAACCCUGAUGCAGCGACGCAGCGUGCGGGAUGACGGCCUUCGGGUUGUAAACCGCUUUCAGCAGGGAAGAAGCGCAAGUGACGGUACCUGCAGAAGAAGUACCGGCUAACUACGUGCCAGCAGCCGCGGUAAUACGUAGGGUACGAGCGUUGUCCGGAAUUAUUGGGCGUAAAGAGCUCGUAGGUGGUUGGUCACGUCUGCUGUGGAAACGCAACGCUUAACGUUGCGCGGGCAGUGGGUACGGGCUGACUAGAGUGCAGUAGGGGAGUCUGGAAUUCCUGGUGUAGCGGUGAAAUGCGCAGAUAUCAGGAGGAACACCGGUGGCGAAGGCGGGACUCUGGGCUGUAACUGACACUGAGGAGCGAAAGCAUGGGGAGCGAACAGGAUUAGAUACCCUGGUAGUCCAUGCCGUAAACGUUGGGCACUAGGUGUGGGGGGCAUUCCACGUUCUCCGCGCCGUAGCU